rnacentral:tmRNA from 1 species
GGGGGCGAAAUGGUUUCGACGGGGAUGUCGAAGCGCUAGUGGCGUGCCGUCGGUCUUUGGGACGACGUAAAAACCUCAGAGAAACAAACGACUGCAGAUAACGCAGAAUUCGCUCUCGCGGCCUAAAAAGCCAAAGGAGCCGUUGAACCGAAGAGCCUGUCAGUGCUCUCGGGGAGGCGUCGUUGAACUGGCUAGCUAACUCCGGGCAGCUCGGGAGCUAAGCGAAAUAACAGAGCUGAUAACUUUGGUGAAAGCCUGUUUGUGGGCGAGCCCCAAAGUGACACCAAAACACAAACUACGCAUGUAGAAGCUAUCGUAGAGGAUUCGCGGACCUGGGUUCGACUCCCAGCGCCUCCACUA